UGCAAAUGAACUUGAAAAUAAUUAAAGUUGCAGCAUCAAAGAUUGUAGGCGAUAUCUUACCUAUGAGAUUUUAUCUCGUCACAUGUCGAGGAAAAUUUCGUUUCAUCUUUUUUGAAAAAAAGUAUAAAAAAUUGGGCGAUUGGAGUCUUGAUAUGGUGAUGAAAUAUCAUCAUAGAUCUGUUCUUCGUAACUGCAUGUUCUGUGUAUUUAAAAAAAUGAGGGAGACAAAAAGCAAAGAAGCAAAAACAAGCAUCCGAGAAUCAGUAAAGAAAUUUUAUUGGAGAUACACGAAGACGAGUACGAGUCCAGUAUUACGUAAGAAUAAUACUGACAAUUCGUGAAUACUCAUGCCUCAAGCGAUAUAUAGACAUCGUGGAAUACAUUAAUUGUGAUGCGCUCAAGCUAAAUUAUAUCGUCGCAAUUUGUGAAUUAUGAUUUAUGCGCUGACCUACAGUUUAAUUCCGCAUCAAGAGAUAGAAUAGGAAAGAAUUGUAUGUAAUUAAUAGAAAUUUAUUAAUUGAAUUGCUUUUAUAUUUAUGAAUCACUAAGUAAUGCUCACAAAGUAUAAGAAAAUAAAUAAAUACAGUUUUCAAAGUAUUUACGCGAUAUUAGACUCUGAAAGACCCGACGGUGGUCAGAUACCGAGUGUCUUGGCGGCUUUGGUCCAUUCUUAUCUUAACUAAGCAUUAAGAAUUCGUUCAAAAAAAAAAUAUAUAUAUACUUAUAAUUAAUUCUUAAAUAAGGUGGAGUUAGAAUUAACAGAACGAAUUGUUGAUAUUUCAAGAUUUAUCCUCUCUUGUUUUUUUUUCUUUCGUUGUUCUUUAUAUAUGUAUAUAAUGCAUUCCUAUAUAUAAAUGCAAAUAUAUUUAAAAUUUGAGAGGAUCACAAGCAAAUAUUUGUGACAAAGCAUUGAACUGUUUUAAGAGAAACACUUAUGAAAGGGAAAUAGGAGGAAAGUAUACAUUUUAAAUUUUAUUAGAGAGAUUAAAUAGGUAUGUUAACGUUAGCAUCUUGGAUU